GCCCGGCUAGCUCAAUCGGUAGAGCGUGAGACUCUUAAGGAGCUUCUCCGAAAUCUCCAGAGAUUCAUCUCAAGGUCGUGGGUUCGACCCCCACGUCGGGCU